rnacentral:lncRNA from 1 species
GCAGCUUAGCUUUUUGCAUGGGGCAAUGCAGUUAUGCACGUUGAUGCAAAAUGCUAUGUCGACGUAGUAAUUAAUUAUUAAAAAACUUUAAAGAAAAGUUCUUGGUACUGUUUAUUUUAACAAAAAUUAUAUUUUUACAUUAAAAAUUUAAUCUUAGUAUUAUUUACUUUACCCUUUAUUUUGUCUUUAUCUUUAAAACUUAAAAUUUUUAUGUAAUUUUCUUAAUUAUUAAUGUUCAUGACCACGAAAAGAAAAUUAUACAUACAACCUUUCAGGAUUGCUGAAGGUCGCAGGCUCACACAGAGAUGAUGAAUGAACAAUGCUGCAAAUUAACAGGCUGCAUCUUCUUCCACCGACAAAUAAAUAGCCCCAUUUUAAUUGGUUUGUACCGUAUCUAGGGGAUAACGUCUUGCCUAGUGAGUGAUGUGGCUUCGCGUAUGUGUUGUGGUUUUAAUGUGGCCUCGCUUGCUAGCGAUUGUUUGAUGUAGUCUUGCUUGUGUGGCGGUGACAUUACUUGUGCUUCCGUAUAAAUCUGCUGAGUUUGCCAUCUUUGUUUCUGAUUUGUUACGGGAGUGCUUGUGCUAGUGUGUGCGCGCCAAUUAGCUGUAUGUCUUCUUGUAAAAAUUUAGAAUCACUAAUUGUAUAUGUAUAGGCUACAGCCUAUAAUAUAUAGUCGCGCGAUAAUUUGAAAUUUCAUCCAUAUGCAUGUUAUAUAUACAUAAAAGGCAAGGCCCUUGCAUAAUGCGUUUAUAUUUUGGUCUUGUUGGUUUCUCUCAUAAGGAAGUUCAUGUAUGCAUACCUUAUUUCUUUCCCGUUCAAUGAAAUUGUUUGAACACAUAAAACUGACAUAAAAUCUUUUAAUACAAGUACACUCUUUUAUUAUAUAUGAGUUUUGGCUAUAUUAUAGAUUAUGUCAUUAAGCAUCAACUUCGCAUGUUCAAAUAGCCAAUGGCGAAGCCAACUAGGGUCAUUGACUACUCAUGACCCCACUUGCUUCGUAGCCCCCAAGGAAUAUUUGUAUAAUAUUUGUUCGUGACUAAUAUACACAACUGCGGACUAAAAAAAAUAAGUCAAAAACACUAAAUUACGACCUGCUACUUCUGUUGUGUAACUCUAUGCAUAGUUAUUUGUAGUUUUUCUUAUUUCUUUGUUUUGUCUUUCUACUAGUAUUUCUUGUGUGCGACCCUAUGUUCGCAACAAGUGUUUGAUUAAAUGCUUCACUCUACAUGCCUUGGUAGAAAUCAAUAAAAUAUGCCAUAACUCGUCAGAUACCCACUAAGAGCUCGACGAAAUGAUCUAAUGAAUUUUUUUUAGCUUAUAACCUCAUUGUUAUAAAAUUUUAGCUCCUUCACUGCAAAUAGCAUCACACUUUCUAAUAUUUUUCACCUAUUUCAUAUGCAUUGAGUUACAAGCACUUUCAUUUCAUUUCAUGUGUAAAUUAUUGGGGUAUUAUUUGUGCUGUUUGAUGCCAAGCAUGCAUUGAUUCGAAAACCGUUUACUUCAUUUCUAUUAAUGUGUUUCGGGUAGUUGCAUCUAAUUGCUCUGUCUCUCUCUCUGCCUCUCUCUGUCUCUAUAUAAAUAUAGCAUAGGCAUUAUGCAUAAUGCCAAUGCUUAUCCAUAUCUCACUGUUCGAUAUGCGACUUUAAGCUCCCUAUUGCUAGCUAGCUAUCUUGCUAGUUUUGUAUAAUUUGUAUUACACAAAGGAGACACACGUAAGAAGCAAUCAGCCGUGAUGGACGCCUUAAUAAUGCUUGUUACUAUCUGUUUACAUUUUGCGCCCUCAUCAGUCAUCACUGAUGUGAAAUGUUAAUUAUUAUGUUAUCACAAGUGUUCAAUCCAGGUACUAAUUCGCGUACGUCGUGUAAUUUUGGUAGGGAAAAUGGGAUAUGAAUUUCAUCCGGAUUCAAAUUGUGAAAAUUAUAAGGAUCUUUAUAUUUUAAUUAUUUAUCGAUCAUCGUGUGAUCACAAAUUAUUUAACUUUUUUUUAUUUAAAAUUAAAUACAAAUAGUACAUAAUGAAAAUGGAUCGUAUAAUGUACAAUAAACUGUUAGAAAGUGAAAAUUCUUAAGAUCCCCAUAAAGUGGAUCCAAAGAGGAUCCUCUUCCGGGAAAAUGAGUCAUUUCCUUUUCUCCACUCUCUCGGAGACCCCCUGCAUCAUGGUUUUCUAUACCGCACUUGUGUUUACGUGUUAACUUCUUAGUGAAAUUAUAUAAUGUAGCUGACCACGUGUCAGCUCUAUCAAAGUUCUUCGAUAAGCAUACAGCCUGCAAGAGUAGCAUAAAUCUGUUGAACAAAAAAUUAAAGGGCCACAGCAUGACCACCUUAAUUUGUAGCUCAGCCGCGAAUAGUUAAACUAUCGCAGAAUGCAUGUGCAAGCAAAACAAGAAAACCUUGGUAGCUCGACCGUGAAUAGUAAAACUGUCGCAGAAUGCAUGUGCAAUUUAUUGAGUACAGUAUUUGCAUGCAAUGAAACGAAAUGAAUGGUUACAAAAUUAGGUUAGCUUUGGGCCUUGGCCAGCUCCUACGUACGUACUUUGUACUAUACAUUAAUUGUCUUUCGUAUAUCUUGUGAACUAGAAUUGUCUCUCUACAUAUUGAUAGAUACGUCUCAAUACUGAAUCAACUAUAAAACUAAUUGACACUACAUGAAGUAGUUCAACUUUUUAUAAGUACUUGCAACUUCUCUUUUUUUUCUUCUCGAUGUUGGAUAUACUCUCUAAUUUAUGUUGAAUACCCCAUCAUGAAGUAGUCAAUACAAUGAUAUUAUCUAUUCCGCUCCAUGUACAGUGCAAGGGGAUUCCCCUGGAAAAGAUUUAAACCUUUGCCCGCGUGAUUCAAGAAGAAAUUACAAAUAUUUAAUUUAAUAUAAUACUAUAUGGUUUAAAAAAUUACUAAUUAAGCUAGCUUGCAUGCACUGCAUGGUGCUUGGCAGCUUGCUCCUGUUUAUAAUAAGAAAAACUAAUGAAAAUAAUUUGAAAAUUUUGAGUUUUAAUGAUAAGGACAAAAUAAAGGGUAAAGUGAAUAGUACUAAGAUUGACUUUUUAAUGUAAAAAUGUGAUUUUUCAUUAAAGUAAACAGUACUAGAGAUUUUUCAUUAAAGUAAACAGUACUAGAGAUUUUUCAUUAAAGUUCCCUUUAUAAUAUGGUAAAGAAAAAUGGGGCCAAUAAUGAUAAUGAAAACAAUAGGGACUGAAUGAGCUGUUCAUCAUGUAAUUAAAAUCAUCAAGACCCGAGGAAAGCAAAUUUUUUCUCACUUCUGACAUGCAUCCUUACAGUCUAAUCACGGUUUAAUUGCAAUUAGGGUUUAAUACGCGAUAAAAUCUGUGAUUUAGCUACCUUUAAUUAUAAUUUUUUGAAGAAAAAAGUUUAAGAAUCUAAUCUAGGGAACAAUUGGUGUCAGGAAGGAAAAGUGGCUGCUAUGUUAUAAACUAACACAAAAGCAAUUGUGUUUGCUUUCUUGAGCAGCUUUGCCUGUAAAGUGACCCUUGUGUAGGACCUUUGUUGCCUCAUUGCUCUGCCCUUUGAGGGAGAAAAAAAAAACUUUUU